rnacentral:rRNA from 1 species
GACGAACCUGACAAACGUUAUUCGGAAUUACUGGGCUUAAAGGGUGCGUAGGCGGCGUAGCAAGUUGGGUGUGAAAUCCCUCGGCUCAACCGAGGAACUGCGCUCAAUACUGCUAUGCUCGAGGGAGACAGAGGUGAGCGGAACUUAGGGUGGAGCGGUGAAAUGCGUUGAUAUCCUAAGGAACACCGGUAGCGAAAGCGGCUCACUGGGUCUUUUCUGACGCUGAGGCACGAAAGCUAGGGUAGCGAACGGGAUUAGAAACCCUAGUAGU